AUUCCUACGUGCCAAGGCGACUCAACAUAGCGUUCCGUACUAGUUUCGUUGUCGAAUGGAGUGGCAUUGUAAAUUGCAUAUGGACGCCCACAUUCUGGAUUAACAAAGCUCGAGUGUCCUGAUGAAAUACUUGGCUCUCUGUGACAUUCAAAUAUACCUCCUUAUAGGUGAUGGAUUAGAAUAAAAAGCAGAAAAAGAAGAGAAAAAUUACCAUGCAUGGGAAACUCUUUCAAUAUGAUAUUAGAAA